rnacentral:rRNA from 1 species
UAGGGAAUCUUCCACAAUGGACGCAAGUCCGAUGGAGCAACGCCGCGUGAGUGAAGAAGGUUUUCGGACCGUAAAGCUCUGUUGUUGGUGAAGAAGGAUAGAGGUAGUAACUGGCCUUUAUUUGACGGUAAUCAACCAGAAAGUCACGGCUAACUACGUGCCAGCAGCCGCGGUAAUACGUAGGUGGCAAGCGUUGUCCGGAUUUAUUGGGCGUAAAGCGAGCGCAGGCGGAAGAAUAAGUCUGAUGUGAAAGCCCUUGGCUUAACCGAGGAAUUGCAUCGGAAACUGUUUUCUUGAGUGCAGAAGAGGAGAGUAGAACUCCAUGUGUAGCGGUGGAAUGCGUAGAUAUAUGGAAGAAUACCAGUGGCGAAGGCGGCUCUCUGGUCUGCAACUGACGCUGAGGCUCGAAAGCAUGGGUAGCGAACAGGAUUAGAUACCCUGGUAGUCCAUGCCGUAAACGAUGAGUGCUAAGUGUUGGGAGGCUUCCGCCUCUCAGUGCUGCAGCUAACGCAUUAAGCACUCCGCCUGGGGGAGUACGACCGCAAGGUUGAAAC